ensembl:lncRNA
UCGGGAAGCAGUCUUGGCUCCAGCCUGGCUUCUUCUGUCGUCCAGAUGCAGCCCAGCAUCUCAGAUGUGGGCCACUUGCAUCCUUCCUCCUCCUCUAGGUGGGCAACGCUUAGAGGGAGGGACCACUGGGAACUUAUCUCAUCCGUCCUGUCAUCCUCCAGACCAUCCUGGAAUACAGCUAUUGUGAGGGUUGGUGGCACUCUUUGGGACCUAAUUUCUUCCUUUACUGUUUGUUCACAAAUAAAUGGCAGACAACUUUCACUGGCUUAUUUGGGUGUAGCGAUAAUCUUUGUGAUUAGUAUUCAUUAAUUUAAUAGCUGCUGCUUAUAUAUUUCAAUAUGAUGCUUUUUUAAUGUUCGGAAUCCCAUGAAGCAAAAGUUAAAAAAGAGAGAGAGAACCCAAGAGAACUAUUCUGCACAUGCACAGAGAGCAACUCCUGCUUAGAACUCCCAGGCCCCCCUGUUUCCUACUGUAUGUCUGUCUGUCGUGGGCGCAUGUCGAUGGGCCGCAGCUGCCGGCACAGCAUUCCAAGCCCAAUUGUUCAUUGUGGAAAGGAUCUUUUUGUUCGGCUUCUUCUCCCCUAGCCCAUCACCUGCCCCACAAUCUGUUAGGCCCGAGCUGUGAAAGAGUGAGGGACGCUGGCAGCUGCCGAGCCCCUCGGGGUCUGCACAGGCCACCCUGGCUGGAGGAAGGUGGGGGUUUCAGCUUCAUGGCAUCUGAUUCUCUGGCAGGAAACAGGGAGUGUGCGAAGAGAAGAAUUGCACCCCAAAGAAGGUUUGAGGCUGAAGGCACUGACAAGGGCAGUUCAUGAAAUCUAUUAAUAAAAGUCAUAAAAAUAAGAACAAAUUCUUUUUAAACAUCCUCUCUAUGACAGGGAUUGUUCGGGGUGCUUUGCUUAGACGAGCUCCUUAAAUUCUCACUACUCUGUGAAAUCGCCAUUAUUUUUAUCUGGUUUUACAGAUGAGGGUCAUAGAAACGAACUGGUUUACAUAUACAUAAAUGGUAAUCGUUUAAAAAAACUAAUUGGGUUGGAGGGACAGUCUUGGACCAACCCAUGGAGAUAGACUUGCAGGGUAGGAGUUGAGAAGGAAGCAAGGGAGGGAGGAAACAGUAUGGGCUUUAUGCUUUGUGCACGUUUAUUCCUCUGCAGCUGUGCACUUGGUUUGCUGGUGCUGGUGGUGGCUUAGCAUUCAUAGUUUUUCUCAGGAAAAUAGGUAAAUGUCCUAGGCACCCCAUUUAAAAUGUUUCUGGCUGACCUUGGGAGUCAUCCAAUAACUCAUAUAAUACAAUCCAGCGGCCAUAUGAGCUUCUGCUACGAAAACAUGGUUCUCUCCCAUAGUCAAGUGCAAGCUUCAUAUGAGUGAGAAUAUGGGGCUGCUCUUCCUCUCCCAGGUUUGGGGACAGUGGUCAAUCAAAAGCAGCGGCUGAUGGGCAGGAGAGGCGGGGGGCCAAGGAGAAGCUGUGGCUGUGCCUUUGAGAAGAUUAAAAGGUCUCAUCUCUUCCAGUGAAUCAGGGAACUUAGGAGCUGAGACAAGUUUCCUUAUAACUAGUGAAACCUGUCAGAUCAAGAUCUUCCAAAGGGUUUGGCAUGUGAGUUUCAGAAGUGAAAGUUUGCACAGAUGAGAAAGACCACUGGGUUCUUUGGUCCAGAGAACUAGAAAGAACCAGCAUUAAUAGACUUGCCAUUCAUGAGCCAGCUGAGGCCCAGAAGGUGAUCAAUUUAUGUAAGAAUACAAAAGAAAUAGAUUUCCAGGGAAAUGGUGUGAGAUAACCAAGACAGUGCUAACCAUCCACUUGUGAGAAUGUCCCCAAUUUGGGUGUGAGUUGUUGUCUUUGUCAAGCUCAACCUCAUAUGGUCAAAAAGUCAAAAUUUGCCUUCAAAAUCUUCAGGAAAAAAAAACAACAAUAAAAACUUUUAAUAGCCAAUUACUUGAUCAUUCUUGAGUCUGAGGAACUAAAUUCUUAUUGACUUAGAACACAUAAAGAAUUGUGAACCCAAAGGUCAAGUUCGAAAUGGGAAUACCUAUGACAAAAGUCUUGUCUUAACACUCGUCCUGGUUUCCCUGGUCAUAACAAGAUGCAAGGAAGGAAAUCGAUGGAACAGAUUAGAAAAUGGAGUGAAAGUUGGGCUGGAAAAACAAAACAAACAAUGACAACAAAAUCAAAACAUUUCAGACGAGGCAUAAAUGCGGAAACGAAGCCUAGGAUGGAAUAUAAAGGCACGUUUCUCUGAGUUUUGCACAGGGCAAAAGGCAUUGAUAUGGCAGGCGCAUGUAGGUCUUUUCCAUACUAUUUGUUUGGUUUCUUACCUGCCCAAAUCUUCUGACUUUGGCAGGUGAUGCUAAUAGGAAGAAUGGGGAGUUUUGGUGUGUCACUUGGCCACUUGUGUGCUAUGUGAUAUUGGCGAAGUCCCCACCUUUCUGUCCCUCCUCUCUGCACCAGAUCCCAUGCCACUUAUCUGCAAAUAGUGGUUGUGUAACCCCAUCUGCCCAUCAUGGGGCAGGUUGGAGAUUAAUGACAUAACACACAUGAGGGUCUUGAGUUUCUUAGAACAGGCCGAUGGCAAUAUAAAAUGUCACUCACCAUGUUAUUGAAAGCAAGAUUUAUUUCUCCCUCCCUCUGCCCUGUAAUCAGACAGUUGUUUGAAAGCCUUAAAUUAAUUGUCCUUUCCCUUGUUCUUGAGAAUCAAGUACCAUUUUACAGCAUUUGGAACUUAAGUAACAGUAAAAGUAUCAUCAGAAAUGUAAACAGCAGACACAGUUCUUUUUCCUAUUUCUCUCUCCGAGCAGGGGAGUAUUUGAACAUAAAUGACUCAGACACAACAUUACAGAGAAGUGAGGAUGGUGAUUUCGCAUUAAUGCUCCUCAGAAAGCCUCUUAGAUUUGGGAAAAAUCAAGGGCGGGUUGAGACAGAGGGAAGUCUGGAUUAUAGACUAACACCAUGUAAUCUUCAAGGUUAUUGGCGGCAGAGGGGUGUGGGGAGGAAGAGCAUGGCCGGGGCAUCUGUGCAUUCUGGCUCUAUGACCUUGAGCAAGCUACUUAAGCUCCUUGAGCCUCAGUUUCCUCAUCUGUAAAGUGAGAAUAAUAAUACUGACUCAACAGGAGGCUUCAAUGAGGUAGAUUUAUGUAACAUGCUGUGAACACAGCGUUAGAUGUCUAAUAAGUAAUUCGUAUGACUAUUAUUUAAUAUUAAUUAAUAUAAAUACAGCAACUGAAACUACUCAGCACAUGAAGGUCUUUAUAUUUGAUUGACUAGUUUCAUUCAGAUGACAAUUGUUAUGCAAGGGGUGGUUCUAAGAUACUUGGGAAAGCUUAAAUAUUAUCAAAAAUAUUUCUCCCACAAUUUUGGUUUCUCUUUUUUUAAAAAAAAAUUUUCAUAUUUUGCUAUGUUUGAAAAGGAUUUGUUAAGAAAAGAUAUCCAUCAGCACCAUUUCUGACAAAAUUUUCAGGACUUUUAUGAAACAAUAUAGAUGAUGAGAUGCCCUGAGUGUCCCCUUAUUGACCACAAGGCCUUUGCCCUCUGACAACAGAUCUGACCUUGGUUAGACAUGUGUAUGCUGGAUGAGGAGAGGAAAUCAGGACUUCCUGCAGAAGAAAAAUCACCGGUGUCUCAUUCUCUGAAUUUCGAAUUUAGGCAUCUUAGCGCUCCCUAUCCUUUCUCUGCCCCACAGUUAGGCCGGGAAGUUUUAAACAAUCGGUAAUAAUUUCUUAAACUAUAAUCAAAAUUGCAUGCUUUUAUGGAGAUUAGAACUCCGCUAGCGUCUGCAGGAGGAGCGUCUGCAAAGAUACGGCCACCCCAAAGUCUGAGCACUUGUGACCUUAUACACUGGAAUCACUGCUGGUGUUCUUGGUGGCUGUCCAUGAAACAAGUUAUGCUGGAGUUCACCAAGUUACAAGCCAAAUUAUUUGUGGUUUACCAUCAUCUGGCUGAGGAGGUAGGAAAUAAAGCAGAGACCCCUCCUUUUAAGGCAAGUAUGGGGUAGUACGUUAGGGUAGGACCUUCUUUUUCCUAAGGCUCAGCCAGAACGUCUUGCUAUUUUUAGAGGACCGGCCAGUUCUGAAUAUUGAUUCAGUCAUGGGCAUGUGUCCCAUUUUAACUUCCCAGGGGCAGCCAGGAACAAGGCCAGCUUCGAAAGCCCAUCUUCUCUCCCUGCAGGCAUCCUGCCACCUUUCUCAGAAGAGGUGAGUAUUGGUGGCAUUUUGCCGUCACUGUUGUCCUUGCCCUGCCUCUCAUCAGAGCUGGAGAGCUGGAGCAGGCACUUCUGGGGAGGAUGGGGCAAAGCGUGGAGAGGGAGCCAACAUCAUACUAAGCUGUUUACCAUGUCGCUUCCAGCAAUUCUGUGGAGCAUGUCUUACUACACAGGAUGAAAUGGUCUCCAGCAGGUUAAGUACUGUGGAGGCAUAGAGUGCUUAAGAAACUCACCCAAAUCACACAGCUAGUAAAUGGCUGGCCUACGACUUGACCUCUCCAACCCAAAACACACCUUCAUUCAGAUAUGCCGUAUUUCGCAAACCUUGCCUGAUCCUUGGUGCUCCAGAGGCACUUUUUAAAACUCCCAUUCUUACACCCCACUCCAGAGCCAGGGAAUCAGAAUCUCCAGGAGAAGGGCUGGGUGUCCAUAUUUUUAACAAGCACGCCCACGGUGAUUUCAACGCUCAGUAAAUUUGAGAAAGAACAGCUCUAGGAGAGUUGCUUUUUGAACUUGAGUGAACAUCUGAAUCACAAGGGAGCUGUUAAAAUGCAGAUUAUUCUGAUUUGCUCUUAAAGGUGCUGAAAUAAGCCAUCUGGACCGGGACCCAGGAAUCUGCCUUUUUGCAACCACUCCUGAUUUGUUCUGUUGCAAGUGGGACUUUGAAAAACAUUGAUCUAAUGAUAAACAAGAAAGAGAGACACAGAUACUGAAGUAAUGAAAUCAUCAAUACUGGAAAGGACUCAUCUUACAACAGUCUAAGGGAAAUGACUUAGUUUGGAGUAAAGGAAGAAUUUCUUCAAACAUGGUAACAAAUGUUUAGACCCAGAACGGGGGAUCCCUCUCCACAACACGAAUAUUUAACAUAUUAACAACAGAAAGGGGAGCGGGUACUACUGUCCACACUGGACCACUGACAUCUUAUCUUUCCAAUGUUCUCUAUGCUCAGCUUCCACCUGGAAUGUUCUUUUCUCUUUGCCCAUCUUCACCAUUACUCCCUCUUUAAGGCUCAGCUCAAAAGACUUUCUCCAUAAAAUUUUCUUCCAGUUGUCUAGUUCCUGUUAUUGCACAUGUACUUGGGCACUUACCACAUCUCACCUAGCGGUCUGAUUCCUUGUGUCCCUGUAACGCGUGCAUCUCCUCUCAUAUGGGCUGGCAUCCUGACUGCCUCAUUUUUGAUUUCCCACACCACCCAGUGAAGGCCUUUGCUCAGUAAGGGUGGAGCAGAUAAAACUACCACCACCACACUUAGAGAGCACUUACUGUGUGCAGGCACUGUUCUCAGUGCUGUAACAAGUAACUUACAUUAUAAUAAUUCAUAUUUUAUGGAUGAAGGACACAGGCAGUGACGGAGAGGUUGUUCUUUGUGGAAGGGUCUCCUUUAGAAGCUAUAGCCCUGUAGGUGACCAGAGUCGCACCUGUAAGGAGAUCCGAGCUCUGUGGAUUCUGGAAAUAAAAAAUCUUAACCUUUGAAUUUAGUCUACCAGAGGCACCUGGAGGGCCAGGUAACACACAGAUUGCCAUCUCUGACCCCUAGAGUUUCUGAGUCAGUAGGUCUGAGUUGGGUCUGAGAAUAUGCAUCUCUAACAAUUUCCCAGGUGAUGCUGAUGCUGUUGGUCUGGGGACUGCACUUCGAGAACCACUGUUCUAGUGCAAUGUUUCUGACACUCAACAGUUCAGGGCAAGGAAUGGGACUCUUACAUUCUGACCUUCCUAAAAAUGAGAAGGUGAAGAAGAAGAGUAAAGCCACACAGAAGUCAGGAAGGUGUGACCCCUCUUCAAGAGUGUGGUUGUAGGAGCUUUCACCAAUGAGGGUGCAGACAGAUGGUCAACACUACGAAGAGAGGGGAAGCCCGUCUGUGAAGUUACCAAGGGUUCUCACUUAACGGCUUGUAAAUAACUGGGCCCAUCCCUUCACCUCCCAGUUCUUACCAAUAAAACUUAAGUGGAGUUUGGAGAAGAAUGGAUAAAAAAUGAGGUGAAUGUUUUUCUUGAGAAGACAGCCCAACAGAGGGUCCACUGACUCAUACGACCUCAUAUUGUAUUCGUGAAGAGAUCAUAAUGAUAAUACAACGUAAUAUAACGUAAUAAUACAGAAUGAUGAUAAAGCUCUUUAGCUCCAAAAUUUCUUAAGUUUUUUUUAAGUGCGCCUGUUAAGUUGAGUGAGCAUUAAGAAUUGCUUAAGGUCCAGGGGACAAAUAGGAGAAUCUGGUACUUGUCCUAGUUUUCCAAAGAAACACAUUGCUGAGGGACUGAGUUUCUUAGUUUUUGAAAACGAGGUAACACUUCACAUUGUCUUAGUGGGGACAUCUGUGAGGUCAUCCAAAACCUACUCCCAUUCAACGAUUGAUAUUGGAGAUAAAUUACUUAUCAGAAAUAAAUUCCUUUGAGUUACUUUGAAGAAAAUUUCAACAUACAUUCAAAAUAUUUUACCAAGGCACUGAAAGGGCAAGCAGCAAGUUCAAGGUCAUGCGCUGUCAAACUCUCAUCCAUCACUCCUAAAAUCUUAGCUCUUCUUUAGGUAAUUGAACAGCCCCUAGGGUGAUUGUGCGUGAUCUCCCCCUUUGAGCUUUCCUUAUCCCUCUGUCUUCCAUGCCCACCCUCCUCCCCCCGCCUGCCUUUGCUUUAAGCCCCAGCACACAGAAACGAGUCUGCUGUCAGUACCAGCCGACAAGUCAUUCCCAUGCACCAAUAACGUGGGCAGGGGCGAUCUCUCUCAUUCAUUUCCCCUCGCCUCGCUCUGCCUGAGGGAUCUGGAUUCUAGCAGUCCUCCCCCGCCGGUGUGAGAUGCAGAACGUGGAGCUUCACCUGCCCCUAUAGAUGCUGCCGUGCUGGCUCCAGAUGACAGAAGCAGAUCGCCUGCAGGGCUUCCCAAAAAUUCACAAAGAAAGAAAGACAGAUGGGCCAGGCAGGAACGCCCAGAGGACAAUUAGAGGAGAAAGAAGCCCGCGGGAGCAGCUCGAAAACUACCCUUCGCCCUGGGUCAUGGCAGAAAUGUGGGGCCUUGGACACCAGCUGUUCCCCAGGAGGUUUUCCCAGCUGCUGCUAUGGCCAACUCUGUGGUGGAGGAGCCCAGGGGUGGGGGAUUCCAAGAGCAGACAUUCCAUGUAGGAUGGAGCCAAACCAGGUCAAAGGCAGAACAGUUGAACUAUUUGGGAAACAGAUAUGAAUGCUGAGAGCACUUGUUUGCACAAAUAAGAAGGUGGAAAUGGAAGGAAUUUUAUGAUGGCAAUUUCUCAAAAUUCUUUGAUCAACAG